GAACGCACAUUGCGCCCCUUGGUAUUCCGUGAGGCAUGCCUGUCUGAGCGUCAGCAACACCACUCAAGCUUUGUAUUAUUGCAUUGUUUGGAUCAUAUCAGGGAAGUAGUUUGGUUGUCCUGCUACCCCUUGAAAAGUAAUAGAUGGUCAGGUUGUUACCCUAUACCAAAUAUCAUAUGAUUUCUAUCUUUUAUUUGUAAGAGUAACUUCUUGACAGUCACUGAACCCACAGUUUGAUACUGUUUUUUCUGACUUGACCUCAGAUCAGGUAGGGAUACCCGCUGAACUUAAG
rnacentral:misc_RNA from 1 species